AGAGGUUGAUUGGCUUACCCAAGCCUGACCACUGUGUCAGCUGAAUAGGCAGAAGCCAUGUUAGAUGAGCCUCAGGAACAAGCGGAGGGCUCCCUGACUGUGUACGUGAUAUCUGAACACUCCUCACUUCUUCCCCAGGACAUGAUGAGCUACAUUGGGCCCAAGAGGACAGCAGUGGUGCGGGGGAUAAUGCACCGGGAGGCCUUUAACAUCAUUGGCCGCCGCAUAGUCCAGGUGGCCCAGGCCAUGUCUUUGACUGAGGAUGUGCUUGCUGCUGCUCUGGCUGACCACCUUCCAGAGGACAAGUGGAGCGCUGAGAAGAGGCGGCCUCUCAAGUCCAGCUUGGGCUAUGAGAUCACCUUCAGUUUACUCAACCCAGACCCCAAGUCCCAUGAUGUCCACUGGGACAUUGAGGGGGCUGUCCGGCGCUAUGUGCAACCUUUCCUGAAUGCCCUCAGUGCCGCUGGCAACUUCUCUGUGGACUCUCAGAUUCUUUACUAUGCAAUGUUGGGGGUGAAUCCCCGCUUUGACUCAGCUUCCUCCAGCUACUAUUUGGACAUGCACAGCCUCCCCCAUGU
rnacentral:sRNA from 1 species